UAAAUCCUUUGCAGACAACUUAAAUAAAGAACCGGGGCAUUGCAAGGAGUAGAGUAGCCUUGUUGCUACGGUCUGCUGGAAUUAAACCCUUGUUCUAAGAUUU